rnacentral:sRNA from 1 species
UGUGGAUCAAGAAAAUGUGAAGUCUCAUGUACUUCUUCACUCUGCCAACAUGUGAUCUAACCUUCUGAAAUCAUAAGUCAAGGUGAAAAUCCAUGUCAGGUUUUUCAUUUUAUUUUUACUCUGAAAUCGAGAGGAUAAUUCAGGUGCAUCAUUCAAAUGUACAUCACAACCUUGGUGCAAAGGAAUAUGUUUUACUGGAGAUGUCUAAGGGACUCAUCUCUUGAAGAAAUGGACAUCAAGUCUCUUAUCCUCAGAAGAAUAAUAAAUGGAGUAUAAUAAGACAUGUUUAGAUCAAAAAGUCAUUUAAAUAUUUUUUCAAUAUAACAUUUGGAUUUAUUUCCUGGGAAUGUCACAUAUUGUAUCCUGAUGACACUCACUUCUUAGUACUUCCGAGUUUUCUUCCCCAUCCCCGUGACCACCUCUGGUUUGGUUUUGAGCUUCUCUUAUG